rnacentral:rRNA from 1 species
GGACUACUGGGGUAUCUAAUCCUGUUCGCUCCCCACGCUUUCGCGUCUCAGCGUCAGUACCGUCCCAGAGAGCCGCCUUCGCCACGGGUGUUCUUCCCGAUAUCUGCGCAUUUCACCGCUACACCGGGAAUUCCACUCUCCUCUUCCGGACUCUAGCUUUACGGUUUCCACCGACAGCUCGAGGUUGAGCCUCGAGUUUUCACAGCGGACCUGUAAAGCCGCCUACACGCUCUUUACGCCCAAUAAAUCCGGACAACGCUUGCCCCCUACGUAUUACCGCGGCUGCUGGCAC